UGGGGAAUUUUGGACAAUGGGCGAAAGCCUGAUCCAGCAAUGCCGCGUGUGUGAAGAAGGCCUUCGGGUUGUAAAGCACUUUUGUCCGGAAAGAAAUCCUUGGCUCUAAUACAGUCGGGGGAUGACGGUACCGGAAGAAUAAGCACCGGCUAACUACGUGCCAGCAGCCGCGGUAAUACGUAGGGUGCAAGCGUUAAUCGGAAUUACUGGGCGUAAAGCGUGCGCAGGCGGUUUGCUAAGACCGAUGUGAAAUCCCCGGGCUCAACCUGGGAACUGCAUUGGUGACUGGCAGGCUAGAGUAUGGCAGAGGGGGGUAGAAUUCCACGUGUAGCAGUGAAAUGCGUAGAGAUGUGGAGGAAUACCGAUGGCGAAGGCAGCCCCCUGGGCCAAUACUGACGCUCAUGCACGAAAGCGUGGGGGAGCAAACAGGAUUAGAUACCCUGGUAGUCCACGCCCUAAACGAUGUCAACUAGUUGUUGGGGAUUCAUUUCCUUAGUAACGUAGCUAACGCGUGAAGUUGACCGCCCGGGGAGUACGGUCGCAAGAUUAAAACUCAAAGGAAUUGACGGGGU
rnacentral:rRNA from 1 species